UGCUGGGAGGCUGUUUCACUGGUGUGUGUUACAUCACAUAAUGCAUGUUUAGCUGGGUGAGUGACAACAGUAUGAAGGGACAGAGAAACAAAUAGGUGUAGAAAGAGAGUCACAGAGCACACAGUCACCAUUCUGUGCCCAGGCGUUCAUUAAAUGUUCAAUAGAAUGCUGAGCUCUGAUAGACAGAGCGGGCCAUGGACACACUGGUAUUGGGUCAUCAUGGACCUAAGGAGUUUUUUUAAUUGAAGAAGGAAUCUUACAUAACAGAAGAAAGAAUAAGAAGAGCUGUCAAAACGAGCUCUGAGGUUUUUGAAGCCCCUUAAUAUAAACAGACAGACAAUGGCGUGAUCAGGAAAGGGAGAAAACAAACAAACAAACAAACAAGGUUAGUAUCGGGGUGCUGGUGGAUCGUUACAAGGGGAUGAGAGGCAGCAAGUGAGAGGACACAUAGGAAACUGUAACAAGACAGAGGCGAGCAGAUGGGGAGCUUCAGCGGAGUGUUAAGCUAGGCUUCGCAAUCUGACCACUUAACUCUCCCAGCAAAGAAAAGAAAGGCUUAAAUACUAAAAAGAAGGAAAGCUGGAAGAAAGGAUGGUAGAUGUGAAAGGCAUAGAGGAUAGAAAGCAAUAGGGAGUGGAGUGCAGGUGCUGUGGAGAGACGCUUGCAGGUGACUCAAUUCACCAGCCUGUGCAGCUGAGAAAGACAGCCAGUGACAAAGGAGAAGAAGAAAGGUAACAAUACACUCACAAAUAGGUAGAUGAAUGUAGCUGGAAGACGGGGCCUGGCUAGGGACGGGAUGAGAGGCUGUGUCAGCAGACUGGUUAAUUCCCAUCUGUGCUUCUGAGAUGGACAAUGACCCACCCGACCAAGAGACCUUUCAGGCAUCAAUAUGUCAGGGAGGGCUUCAAUGGGGCAAUGGAGGCGAGGCCCAUUAAUAGCAGAUUAUGAUGUAUCCAAUUAGGUGCACCUGCCCUCUGGAAGUGCAGAAACCAGUAUUGAAAUGGAAAGAAAGACUGAAUGGAAGUCCGAGAGUACAAAUGAAUGGAUGGGAAAAAAGAUUUGCAUUCGCUCUUAGGGGGAGGGUGCUGCUGAGCCCCAGGGUCAUCUGAUCUCCCGGAGAAUAAAAGGGCGAGGGAGUGAUAGAGAGUAACAAUAAGAUG
rnacentral:lncRNA from 1 species